UGCGCGCACUCUUCUUUAAUGCGCGCGAGCUUGGCAAAUCUAUCCCAUAAAACCUCUCGCGCUUGAAAUCCAAGAUGGCGGCUGAAUGGACACAGUUCGUAAUGACAUUAGAAAAACGUUGAAAAAAGCAAAUUUAUCAAAGAAAAAGGCUAUGAAAAGUUUUGUAAUUGCUCUCUCUUUUAAGUAAUAAUUAUUUCCAUGCCAAAGAAGAAGAAGCAAGAAAUCUGUGGCAAGGAAGCCUGUGCAAUACAAAAAUGUUUACGAGAAAACAAUUACCAAGAAAACAGGUGUAAGAAUGUGAUUGAUUUUUUUAUGUUAUGCUGUGAGAAGAAUUCAGAAGCUGAAUCAAUACACUGCUCUGGUUUCAAGACCAAAAACUUUAAAAAGACAUAAAAAACAAAAACAUGUACUAGUAAAAUCCUUUCUUCUUCAGUAAAACAUUUUACAUAUA